AUCGCCAUUCACACAGUGUUUCCAAGCCUGGUGAAGAUUGGUCGUGUUCUUGUCGAGUGUGUAGGCCUUGAAUGCAUCCCUGCGCUUGUUCAAAGUGCCUGGCCGCACUGCGCCGCCCUUGGGCCUCCUCCUGCCUGUAGCUCCUUGCUCUGCAGAGGGAUGCAGUGAUCCUCCUGCGGCCCUGAACCACAGCCAGGUCGUCUCUGAACUGCUGCCCGAAAAAUACAUUUCCCACAGCUACUCGUGAAGCUCUUCGCCGCCAUCUUUUACCCUCUGGGUCAGCCGGCGUUGUCACAUGUACAUGAGCUUCUCUGUUGUACAAAGGAUAAAGCUGUUGUUAAAGUUUCAGCUUAUAGCAACUCUCAUAACUAAUUCAUCAAAGCUAAGGAGGGCUGUAGAUAUGGUGUCAUUACACACAUUUUUGCCUGAUGGUGUUUUUGUAUCUUGUGAUUUAAUAAGUUAGGCUGGGGUGAACUGCUAUUCUUGUUGACUGUCAGAUUGUCUGUUUUCAUGCUGUAUACAUCUGCAACAUUUAGUGGAGAUCCAAAAGUAAAGUUUGGAUAUCAAAUGUAAUGCUUUUAAUCAAAUUGUAUGUUAUUAUUCACCUUUAAUGUAUUUAUUUUGUGUCAUGUUGCGCAAAUAUAAUAAA